ACCUGGGAAGCACGCAGGACGGACGGACGGGAUGAGUAAAGCUCAGGACCUCCGAGACGUCUCACUUUCACCAUUCAUUCGGGGCGCUGGGAGGCGGAGGCCUCAGCAUUUCCUAACUUAUUUUUUUAUGAAGCACUCGCCUCACCCAGUAGACUGAGAGUGUGCUCCCCGUUGACCUCGGCUCAGAAAGAAGGGAAGUCUGAUGCUAAGCUCCUCUUCCUCUACCACGGGCUCCACGCACCCCAAGACCCCCCGGGAGGUCCCGAUCCUCCUUCAGAACCAGAGCACAAGGACCGUCUUUCAUGCUCUUUUCUUGGUAGAACCUGACCUGUUGCAGAGCCGAGCGCCCCGCCUCUGUCUUGGGCACGUGACAGUCAGCCCUCAGGAACUUAGGUCCAGACCAAUAACGGACUUGUUGGCAUCCCCUCAUCUCCCAGUUAUGAAUUCCUUGGGUUCCGUGUGUCUCUACGUUCCAGUUGGUAGCACCUAACGAGUCUGCUGAAUGGAUUUUCCCUUAGUUUGAAUCCCUGCCUGGUUUGGCCAUAAGAAAACAAAUACCAUUCAUGGGGUGUGUGACAUAGACGCUGGUGCUCCCCAAUUAUUCCAUGAGAUCCUGCAUAUUUUCCAGCCUUCCUGGCACUUAGCAUGGGGCCAGGUGACGAAUUCAAGUUCACGGGCACAAGGGGGAGUGAAGCAAUGCACAGCAUUUGCCACCCGAGGACACCGAGGAGGUUGAAAGCUGCACGCAUCUGCCGCGGUGGCUGGAAGCGAAGAACACUGAGACGGCAAAGGGGCCACAGAGAGCAUCUCUAAUGCGCACCACUGCUGAAAGGCGGCCACCAGGGAGGACGGGCUGAGCUGUAUUGGACUGCUCCGAAAGUGACAAAUAAGCCUCUGGCUUUGGAGGUUUGCUGCCACAGCAAAACUUAGCUUUACCCUGACCAACCGCGGGUGAGUUUCACAAGCUGAAAGUGUAAGGAGGAGACAAGCCCGUGGAAUAUGACAGCAUCACCGCGGGUGAGUUUCACAAGCUGAAAGUGUAAGGAGGAGACAAGCCCGUGGAAUAUGACAGCAUCACUGGCUAGCAACAUCUUCUGAUAUCCUGGAAUUAGUCGGGAUGGGCCAUGGAUCUGGAUCUGAAACUUUUAAAUCGAAAUGGGGACAAGAGCAUCCCUAUGACGUCAUUGGAGAAUCUGAGGCAUAGAGAAGCGAAGGGAUGGGCUUCUCGGAUUAGGAGUGAGCGAAGCAUGAGAAGAGAGACCUCAAUUUCCCCUGGGCUGUUUCCCACCCUUCCUAGUUGGGAUUUCUCCUCCCCCAGCAUUUGUGCCCUUUGAGUUAGUAUUCUAGGCAUGAGACUGACCUAUUUCGAAGUGGGACAGGUUGGCGUCUCUAAAGCGGGUUCCACAGAAGACUCUGUUUUGAAGCAACAUGGUGGUAAAGAGGUUAACACUGAAUGGGAGUUUUACUUCCAGGCAGGGAUCUCGAGCCCUGGUGGAAAGACUGCAGCUGCCCUGUGGCCCAGAUAAUGCAACAUCGGGCUGAGCAAGGACAUCUGAGAACAUUCUGUUCUCCUCCCCCGAGACCAAUUAAAAUCUGGAGGCAUCUUUCUUGUUGAUCGAGCUGACUAACUAAUUGAAACGGAAUUGUGAUAUUUUCAUCAGCUUUCUCUUAUCCCUCUUGGCCUUGCCAGCAGAGAGCAAGCUGAAUGAUCAGAGAGUUUCAAGCAUGUGAGGCCCAGGGAACGGAACCCCUCUCACCGUAAACCACUACAUUUCCACGGAACAAGGUUCGAAAAAGGAUGAUGCGGGGUCGAGAGUAGGGCGAUACGCUCAAAUCUCAGUCUCAGUUCAUCCAGAUACCAAAGAUACCAUCUUCGGGAUUCCUGAUGAACCAUAACGCUGUCCUUCAGCAGUUGCUGCUCCAAUAAACCAGCUUCUGACCUCUGCCUUCCUAACGAACAUCCCUCUGCCUGACUGGGGAAGCUCCUAGAAACAAAGAACCAAACGCCUCUGAGGCCCAACAAGAUCCCUUUCCUUCCAUUGAGCUAGAAUGUAUUUCCUCGGCACGUGCAAAUGGCCUAGUGGUUAAUCUUAGCAAUUGUCCCAAAGGACAUCCAAGCCUCUGAGAGUGGGUUACACGAUUGAGAUUGCAGGACCUUUUUCUGCUUCAGCAUGAAGACCUGCAUGUUAGCAUUUGUGAGGAGAGCUCAAGAUGGGGGGAAGUCCUCUUGGCUCCUGAUCUAAGGAAGAGCUGCGUCUUAAGCAUUGGUAGAAUUGCUCAUGUGUCCAGUGUGAGGUGGCCUUGGCUGACAAGCUAUCAAAAUAAAUAAAUAACAAGAAAAU
rnacentral:lncRNA from 1 species